UCUCGUCUCUCACUUAUUUCUCUUUCUUCACUCUCUUUACUUUUUUCACUUUCUUUGUUCCCUUUGCUGUGCUUCACUUCGGUAGGAAAGAGUUUUUGGACAGGACGACUGAGAAAGACCAACUUUCCUUUUCGCGCCGUCAACCUGACCUUAGCACCUCUCACCACAUCUCAACUUCAUCCUUCUCAACAACUCUUUUACUAUUUUCUCGCUUCCGAUCCCUUUAUGGAAUUCUCUCAAAUCAGCAAGAUACUCCCUACGCCACCUAUUCCAAAAAUGUUGCUUUUUCUGAAAC